GGGGCGGGGGGCGUGCUCGGAGAGUGUCAUCUCCAAGCCAGCCUGGGCUUGCAGGGAGCGUGGGGGCGUGCUGGGGGGUGCGCCCUGGGAGGGGGAGAAGGAUCGGGGAGCCCUCUGCACCUUCCAGAUCGGGGAGCAGAGCCGAAUUCGAAGCGCUCGGAGGUGUGCAGUUUGUUUCGGAGUUCGGGUCCCUUCUGUGGCAGGAACUGGCGGUGUGACCUUGAACGUAUCCCCACCGCUCUCUGCCCUGGUAGAGCUUGCUGGGCUACACGGCCAGGGCCACCAAGUGACUCGGGAGAGCUGGGAGGCCAGCAUGAGCUCCUGCUGGACCCGCAGGAGCCUGGAUGGGGCAGGGCUUGUGCGACCCAGAAGCAGCAGGUGAAGAUGCUGUUGUUUCUUCUCCCCGCACUCUGCGCGGACCACAUUUGUCUCUGACGCAAGGCGCUUGAUAUUGGGGUCGGAGAGACUUUCUGAGAUGCCUCCAAAAAGAAAUCCUAAACUCCGAGCUAAAAAAUGCAGCACUUCCUGAUCCACCCCUCCCAGCCCCUGGCAGGGCUGUUGCUAGGAGGCACCCCAAGAGUUCUUGAGGAUCUCACCCCUAGGAGCCAGGAGGCCCAGCUGAUUUUCUGCAGAGCUUCCACCCCGCCAAAGCCUGGCCACCGUGACCUCACACCACCUCCACCUGUGUCAGGGAGCCUUGGACAUCUCCACCAGUCUGGGGACACAGGGUCAGGCCUGGGCCUGCGGCUCAGGAACUCCCCUCCCUGUCUCGUGCAUUUCUGUAUGUGGCGCUGGGUAGCGAAGCCAGCGGCUCAAGCACGUGAAGCAUGUGCCCUGCUAUGGAGCCACACCCCUGUCCCCCAUUUCCUCUGGACUGGAAUUCAGGUGAUGUCAGCAAGUGGUGAGAUACCACAGACACCCCUCUGUACCCUCACUUAUUAGGGGUGCUCUGGAAAGACAGAUGAAGAAACUGAGUUUCUACCAGCUAAGAGAACCCAAAACCCCAGUGUUUCUCCUCCUCAGUGUUCUCUAAAUCAAGCAGAAAUGGAAGCCAGCCAUGGCAGUGCAUUCUGCAGUGCUAGCAUUCUAGGAGGCUGAGGCAGAAGGAUUACAAGUUUGACCCCAGCCUGGGCAGUUCAGAGACUUAGCAAGACUUGUUCUCAAAAUAAAAAAAAUAAACUGGAUGUGGUGGCAAAUGCCCGUAAUCUAGUGGCUCCAAAAGCUGAAGCAGGAAGAUUGCAAGUUCGUGGCCAGCCUGGGCAAUUUAGUGAGACCCUGUAUCAAAAAUAAAAGAUAAACUCAAGAUGCUGAGGCAGGAGGAUCUCUGCGAGCUCUAUGCCAGCCUGAGCUAUACAGCAAGACCUUGACUCAAAACAAACAGAAUAACAAUAAUAAAAAUAAAUUAGGGUGGUGGAUGUAAUUGAGUGGUCAAAUGCCUCUGGUUCAUUCCCCAGCACUACACAUAAACUAACAAAUAAAUAAAUAUUUUAGAAAGAGCUGGGCAUGCAGCUCAGUACAAAGGCCCUGGGUUUGUUCUCCAUGAAAUGGAGCAAAGAAAGUUGGGGAGCAGUAGAUGGAAGUUGGGGAUCAAUUUCAAACAGCCCUUGAACUCACUAUGUAGCCCAGGCUGGCCUCAAACUCACGGCAGUCCACCUGCCUCAGCCUCCCAAAUGCUGGGAUUACAAGCAUGCGGCCCCACACCAGCUGUUUAUUUUGUUGACAGGGUCUCACUUUGCAGCUCAGGCUCACUUUCAACUCAUGAACCUGCUUCAGCCUCCCAAGUGGUGAGUUGUCACCACCACAUCAAGUUUUGUUUUAUUUUUAUAUUUAAUAUGUCCUAGGUAUUGGACCCCCUCAAAUAUCCAUAGUUUCUAGUUUCACAUUGCUAUUUGCCAGCAGAGAAAUCGGAGAAGGAAGAGGAGGAAGAGGUAGGGGUCUCUUCUGCCACCAGAAUUU
ensembl:lincRNA